rnacentral:rRNA from 1 species
AUUGAACGCUGGCGGCAUGCCUUACACAUGCAAGUCGAACGGUAACGGGCCUUCGGGUGCCGACGAGUGGCGAACGGGUGAGUAAUGUAUCGGAACGUACCUUUCAGUGGGGGAUAACGUAGCGAAAGUUACGCUAAUACCGCAUAUUCUGAGAGCAGGAAAGCAGGGGAUCGCAAGACCUUGCGCUGAUUGAGCGGCCGAUAUCAGAUUAGCUAGUUGGUGAGGUAAAGGCUCACCAAGGCGACGAUCUGUAGCGGGUCUGAGAGGAUGAUCCGCCACACUGGGACUGAGACACGGUCCAGACUCCUACGGGAGGCAGCAGUGGGGAAUUUUGGACAAUGGGGGCAACCCUGAUCCAGCCAUGCCGCGUGAGGGAAGAAGGCCUUCGGGUUGUAAAGCUCUUUCGGCCGGGAAGAAAUCGUAUCAGCUAAUACCUGGUGCGGAUGACGGUACCGGCAUAAGAAGCACCGGCUAACUACGUGCCAGCCGCCGCGGUAAGAC